rfam:Dictyostelium fasciculatum unplaced genomic scaffold Scf_Dfasci-F-a-25c12.r2-5, whole genome shotgun sequence.
CAAAAGGUGUUUUUCAACACCACCCAAAUUUAUCUAAUCAUUACG